rnacentral:rRNA from 1 species
ACAUUCGGGGAUACCACCCUGAACGCUCCCCAUGGCCUCUGAUUGGGAGGCUAAGCAGCCUUGGGCCUGGUUAGUGCAUGAGUGGGAGGCCCUGGCCGGUUUGGCUCAAGGGAGUA